GGUUAAGCGACUAAGCGUACACGGUGGAUGCCCUGGCAGUCAGAGGCGAUGAAGGACGUGCUAAUCUGCGAAAAGCGUCGGUAAGGUGAUAUGAACCGUUAUAGCCGGCGAUGUCCGAAUGGGGAAACCCAGUGCAAUUCGUUGCACUAUCGUUAACUGAAUACAUAGGUUAACGAGGCGAACCGGGGGAACUGAAACAUCUAAGUACCCCGAGGAAAAGAAAUCAACCGAGAUUCCCCCAGUAGCGGCGAGCGAACGGGGAGCAGCCCGGAGUCUGAAUCAGCUUGUGUGUUAGUGGAAGCGUCUGGAAAGUCGCAGGGUACAGGGUGAUACUCCCGUACACUAAAACGCACAGGUUGUGAACUCGAAGAGUAGGGCGGGACACGUGGUAUCCUGUCUGAAUAUGGGGGGACCAUCCUCCAAGGCUAAAUACUCCUGACUGACCGAUAGUGAACCAGUACCGUGAGGGAAAGGCGAAAAGAACCCCGGCGAGGGGAGUGAAAAAGAACCUGAAACCGUGUACGUACAAGCAGUAGGAGCCCACUUGUUGGGUGACUGCGUACCUUUUGUAUAAUGGGUCAGCGACUUAUAUUCUGUAGCAAGGUUAACCGUAUAGGGGAGCCGCAGGGAAACCGAGUCUUAACUGGGCGUUAAGUUGCAGGGUAUAGACCCGAAACCCGGUGAUCUAGCCAUGGGCAGGUUGAAGGUUGGGUAACACUAACUGGAGGACCGAACCGACUAAUGUUGAAAAAUUAGCGGAUGACUUGUGGCUGGGGGUGAAAGGCCAAUCAAACCGGGAGAUAGCUGGUUCUCCCCGAAAGCUAUUUAGGUAGCGCCUCGUGAACUCAUCUUCGGGGGUAGAGCACUGUUUCGGCUAGGGGGUCAUCCCGACUUACCAACCCGAUGCAAACUACGAAUACCGAAGAAUGUUAUCACGGGAGACACACGGCGGGUGCUAACGUCCGUCGUGAAGAGGGAAACAACCCAGACCGCCAGCUAAGGUCCCAAAGUCAUGGUUAAGUGGGAAACGAUGUGGGAAGGCCCAGACAGCCAGGAUGUUGGCUUAGAAGCAGCCAUCAUUUAAAGAAAGCGUAAUAGCUCACUGGUCGAGUCGGCCUGCGCGGAAGAUGUAACGGGGCUAAACCAUGCACCGAAGCUGCGGCAGCGACACUAUGUGUUGUUGGGUAGGGGAGCGUUCUGUAAGCCGUUGAAGGUGGCCUGUGAGGGUUGCUGGAGGUAUCAGAAGUGCGAAUGCUGACAUAAGUAACGAUAAUGCGGGUGAAAAACCCGCACGCCGGAAGACCAAGGGUUCCUGUCCAACGUUAAUCGGGGCAGGGUGAGUCGACCCCUAAGGCGAGGCCGAAAGGCGUAGUCGAUGGGAAACAGGUUAAUAUUCCUGUACUCGGUGUUACUGCGAAGGGGGGACGGAGAAGGCUAUGUUGGCCGGGCGACGGUUGUCCCGGUUUAAGCAUGUAGGCGGAUGUUCCAGGUAAAUCCGGAACGUUACUAACGCUGAGGUGUGAUGACGAGGCACUACGGUGCUGAAGUGACAAAUGCCCUGCUUCCAGGAAAAGCCUCUAAGCAUCAGGUAACAUCAAAUCGUACCCCAAACCGACACAGGUGGUCAGGUAGAGAAUACCAAGGCGCUUGAGAGAACUCGGGUGAAGGAACUAGGCAAAAUGGUGCCGUAACUUCGGGAGAAGGCACGCUGAUGGUAGGUGAAGUGACUUGCUCAUGGAGCUGAAAUCAGUCGAAGAUACCAGCUGGCUGCAACUGUUUAUUAAAAACACAGCACUGUGCAAACACGAAAGUGGACGUAUACGGUGUGACGCCUGCCCGGUGCCGGAAGGUUAAUUGAUGGGGUUAUCCGUAAGGAGAAGCUCUUGAUCGAAGCCCCGGUAAACGGCGGCCGUAACUAUAACGGUCCUAAGGUAGCGAAAUUCCUUGUCGGGUAAGUUCCGACCUGCACGAAUGGCGUAAUGAUGGCCAGGCUGUCUCCACCCGAGACUCAGUGAAAUUGAACUCGCUGUGAAGAUGCAGUGUACCCGCGGCAAGACGGAAAGACCCCGUGAACCUUUACUAUAGCUUGACACUGAACACUGGUCCUUGAUGUGUAGGAUAGGUGGGAGGCUUUGAAGUGUGGACGCCAGUCUGCAUGGAGCCAUCCUUGAAAUACCACCCUUUAAUGGCUGGUGUUCUAACGUGGGCCCGUAAUCCGGGUUGCGGACAGUGUCUGGUGGGUAGUUUGACUGGGGCGGUCUCCUCCUAAAGAGUAACGGAGGAGCACGAAGGUCAGCUAAUCCUGGUCGGACAUCAGGAGGUUAGUGCAAUGGCAUAAGCUGGCUUGACUGCGAGCGUGACGGCGCGAGCAGGUGCGAAAGCAGGUCAUAGUGAUCCGGUGGUUCUGAAUGGAAGGGCCAUCGCUCAACGGAUAAAAGGUACUCCGGGGAUAACAGGCUGAUACCGCCCAAGAGUUCAUAUCGACGGCGGUGUUUGGCACCUCGAUGUCGGCUCAUCACAUCCUGGGGCUGAAGUAGGUCCCAAGGGUAUGGCUGUUCGCCAUUUAAAGUGGUACGCGAGCUGGGUUUAGAACGUCGUGAGACAGUUCGGUCCCUAUCUGCCGUGGGCGCUGGAGAAUUGAGGGGGGCUGCUCCUAGUACGAGAGGACCGGAGUGGACGCAUCACUGGUGUUCGGGUUGUCAUGCCAAUGGCAUUGCCCGGUAGCUAAAUGCGGAAGAGAUAAGUGCUGAAAGCAUCUAAGCACGAAACUUGCCCCGAGAUGAGUUCUCCCUGACUCCUUGAGAGUCCUGAAGGAACGUUGAAGACGACGACGUUGAUAGGCCGGGUGUGUAAGCGCAGCGAUGCGUUGAGCUAACCGGUACUAAUGAACCGUGAGGCUUAACCUU
rnacentral:rRNA from 1 species